GAUGAACGCUGGCGGCGUGCUUAACACAUGCAAGUCGAACGAUGAAGCCCAGCUUGCUGGGUGGAUUAGUGGCGAACGGGUGAGUAACACGUGAGUAACCUGCCCUUAACUCUGGGAUACGCCUGGGAAACUGGGUCUAAUACCGGAUAGGAGCGUCCACCGCAUGGUGGGUGUUGGAAAGAUUUAUCGGUUUUGGAUGGACUCGCGGCCUAUCCGCUUGUUGGUGAGGUAAUGGCUCACCAAGGCGACGACGGGUAGCCGGCCUGAGAGGGUGACCGGCCACACUGGGACUGAGACACGGCCCAGACUCCUACGGGAGGCAGCAGUGGGGAAUAUUGCACAAUGGGCGCAAGCCUGAUGCAGCGACGCCGCGUGAGGGAUGACGGCCUUCGGGUUGUAAACCUCUUUCAGUAGGGAAGAAGCGAAAGUGACGGUACCUGCAGAAGAAGCACCGGCUAACUACGUG
rnacentral:rRNA from 1 species